ensembl:rRNA 5S_rRNA 5S ribosomal RNA
GCUUACGGCCAUACCAGCCUGAAUACGCCCGAUCUCGUCCGAUCUCGGAAGCUAAGCAGGGUCGGGCCUGGUUAGUACUUGGAUGGAGACCGCCUGGGAAUACCAGGUGCUGUAAGCU